CCAGUGCCACUGCUGGGCUCACCUCCCACCAGGAGAGCCAGGGCCAGGCAGUGCCACUGGCUGCAGGCACAGCCUCUGAUCCUUCCAGCAGCGGCAAUUAUUUAAUGUAAUGAGAAGAAUCCAAGCACUAGAACUUUUCAGAGAGAUUAAAUGUUUUAUGACAGACCAAAAUUGUGUAAUGCAAAAGCCUGAUUUUGUGUAUAGGAAGAUACUUAGAAAUAAAAUGUGUACUGGUGCCUGGGAGGCUGAGGCAGAUGACGACUGGAGCCCUCUCCCAGCUCAACAUUCCUUCCAGCCAUCCUCCCCCAAUAUGACAUCACUUCUCACCCAUCCCACCAUCCCUAUCAGCAGGACACAGCCCUGGCAGAGGCACUGCAGGCACACAGGGAUGGUAGGACAGCUCACCAGCCAGGGUGAACCCCCCGUGCCCUCCUUAUGGACAGCCAGGGUUCAGCACAGAAACACGCAGAUUCUGGCUUUUAUUUGAGGCAGGUUGGAAAGAGCAGUGAAGGUUAUUGAAAACAUAACGAAAGCUCCUCCUUAUUUCAUUAAAUACAAAUGUGAGUGGGGUCAUCAGUUUUUAUAGGGGCUCGUAAAGCAUCCCUCUUGUUCAAAUAGGCUAUCAAAUCACCCAGGGCUCCUCUCCGGGAGGAGCGCAAUAAACCCAGAGUUUCUUCUUUAAGAAACUCAUCUCAACAUCAUAAUAAAAUAACCUUAAAUAAUACAGUAUGGAACAGGUUUUCAAUAACAUAAUUAUAGGCUUCCAUUUUUUUCCUGGCAGGUCAUUUCUUGGUAUCUAUUUUGGAUGCCACAUUGCAGAGGAAGGGGGUAGGGAUGGAAGCAUGGGUGGAUUUUGAAGCAUGUCCUCAGGUCACAGCAGAUCACCUUGCCUUUCCUUUGUGCAGUGCAGGCACCAUGAGGCCUGGGGAAGCUGGGCAGAGCUGCAGCCUGUGGGAUGGAACAGCAGAAGUGAAGAUGCUGACUUGCUGCCUUCCUCACUUGAGCAGAGCUCUGUGUGCAGUGAUUCAGGCCAGGCUCCACUCCCUGCUCUCCCCAGUGUCCUGGAGGAAUAUGCUCCGGAAUGCCUUCAGCAAGAGCCUCUAAUCUGGAAGAGUCAUUUCUCCCUCUGCCUCUCUCGCAGUACAGGAGCAAUGCAGUGGCUGCUGGCUGGAAAAUUAGCCCAGGGAACUCUCUCCUCUGUCUGUCUCUCACCUCAUUAGACUAGUGAGAAAAUGUAAUUGUAAGUCUCUCAG